AUGCCGCUACAGGAGGGUGCAGAGGAUUUCCAUGCAUGGCAUUUUGAUACAAAGGGAGAGUUUUCUGUGAAACAAGCCUACAAGUUACACCAAGCAAUCAUGGAAAAUAAAGGAAAUGAUGGCCCGACACAUGCCCCAGGGGAAGGUAAUCUGAACGGUGAAGGAGAUGUGAGAUGGAAGAGUAUUUGGAGAAUGCCGUGCCCAGGGUCAAUAAAGCAUUUUCUGUGGAGGUGUGCUCACAACACGCUAGCGACCAGAGACAUUUUACAGAGAAGGGGAGUAAAGAUUGAGGACCACAGAUGCCUCGUAUGCAACUCCAGCCCAGAAUCGGGGAAACACCUGUUCGUUCAGUGUAGGGAGAUCAAGCCGGUAUGGCAGGAAAUGAGGGCGGAGCACAUCCGGGUCAAGCUGAACUUGGAUAGUAUAACUGAAAUGCUGGAUGAGUUGUGGAAGCUUCCAGAGGAGCAGCGGAUGCAAAUAAUCAUCAUGUGGUGGCUGUGGUGGACACAGAGGAACAAGAUCAGAGAAGGGGAGAAGCCGCUUGAGACUCAGGAUUUUGUGUAUAGGGCUGCAUGCACUGCGAGGGAAUAUCAGGGGUGUUAUGCAAAAAAACAGCCACCAAGUACAAGGGAGGAUGUGCGGUGGGCGCCACCACCAGCUGACAUGAUUAAAUUCAAUGUGGAUGCAGCUUUUGUCUCUGAUCAACAAGUGGCAGCGUGGGGUGCGGUAGCAAGAAACAGCCAAGGCGAAAUCAUUGCAGCCAGGGCAGGACGGAUUCCCCAGGUUUUUGGCUCCUUCGGUGCGGAGCUUCGAGCUGUGGAGAUGGCGAUUGGAGUGGCUGCCGAAUUGGGAGUGGUGAGGAUGCAGGUUGAGACGGAUGCUUUGCUAGUAGUGCAGGCGCUGAACCGAAGAAAGCCAGACUUUUCCAGGGAGGCGCAGCUGAUUGAAGACAUCAAGGUCCAGAGGAACUUGUGGUUCUCAAUGUGCGAGAUCAUACACUGUCCCCGUGAGGUGAAUCAUGCAGCUCACUACUUAGCCAAGGUAGGUUUAAGCUCCAGUCUUGGGGAUGUCUCUGUGUAUGACGAUGAUGUACCAGCUGAACUUGCUGCGAUUGUAUCGGGCGAUAGUGCCCAUGUCGUUUGA
rnacentral:rRNA from 1 species